GAAGCGACUCUCGGCAACGGAUAUCUCGGCUCUCGCAUCGAUGAAGAACGUAGCGAAAUGCGAUACUUGGUGUGAAUUGCAGAAUCCCGUGAACCAUCGAGUCUUUGAACGCAAGUUGCGCCCGAAGCCUUCUGGUUGAGGGCACGUCUGCCUGGGUGUCACAC
rnacentral:rRNA from 1 species